UACGUAGGGUGCGAGCGUUAAUCGGAAUUACUGGGCGUAAAGCGUGCGCAGGCGGUGAGCUGUGUCCGAUGUGAAAGCCCCGGGCUUAACCUGGGAAUGGCAUUGGAAACUGGCUCGCUGGAGUGUGGCAGAGGGGGGUGGAAUUCCGCGUGUAGCAGUGAAAUGCGUAGAGAUGCGGAGGAACACCGAUGGCGAAGGCAGCCCCCUGGGCUAACACUGACGCUCAGGCACGAAAGCGGUGGGGAGCAAACAGG
rnacentral:rRNA from 1 species